AGUGGGCCUAAAAGCAGCCACCUUUAAUACAGCGUCAAAGCUAAAUUGUAACCGAGCCCAAUUACUUAACCCAUAUCUUAAUCCCCUGCCAAUACUGAGUAAUUCUAUAAUAUUAUAGAAAUUUUUAUGUUAAAACUAGUAACAAGAAGAAGAUUCUUCUCUUAAAUGUACAUAUAAAUCAGAAAAGACAAGCUACUGAUACUUAACACCUCUGAGCAUAAAGUAGUAACUAACCAAGAAAACUCUACUUUUACUGGUGUUAAUCUAACACAAGAACAUUCUAAGAAAGAUUAAAAGAAAAAGAAGGAACUCGGCAAACACUAACCUCGCCUGUUUACCAAAAACAUCGCCUCUUGAAUUUAUAUAAGAGGUCCAGCCUGCCCAGUGACCCUGUUCAACGGCCGCGGUAUCCUAACCGUGCGAAGGUAGCGUAAUCACUUGUUCUCUAAAUGUGGACUAGUAUGAAUGGCAUCACGAAGGUUAUACUGUCUCCUUUUUCUAAUCAGUGAAACUAAUCUCCCCGUGAAGAAGCGGGGAUAAUACUAUAAGACGAGAAGACCCUAUGGAGCUUUAAACAGUACAGCAUCUGCCCCAUAACACUAAAAUUUCUGAAUUAAAAACUUCAUUGGACAGUAUGACUGCGAGUUUUUGGUUGGGGUGACCACGGAGCACAAUACAACCUCCAUGCUGAAAGAAAAUUUCUAAGCCAAGGUCUACAAACCUAAGCAUCAACACAUUGACAUCCAUUGACCCAAUACACUUGAACAACGAACCAAGUUACCCUAGGGAUAACAGCGCAAUCCACUUCAAAAGCUCCUAUCGACAAGUGGGUUUACGACCUCGAUGUUGGAUCAGGGUCUCCCAGUGGUGCAGCCGCUACUAAAGGUUCGUUUGUUCAACGAUUAAAACCCUACGUGAUCUGAGUUCAGACCGGAG
rnacentral:rRNA from 1 species